CGUAGGGUGCGAGCGUUAAUCGGAAUUACUGGGCGUAAAGCGUGCGCAGGCGGUUAUAUAAGACAGAUGUGAAAUCCCCGGGCUCAACCUGGGAACUGCAUUUGUGACUGUAUAGCUAGAGUACGGCAGAGGGGGAUGGAAUUCCGCGUGUAGCAGUGAAAUGCGUAGAUAUGCGGAGGAACACCGAUGGCGAAGGCAAUCCCCCUGGGCCUGUACUGACGCUCAUGCACGAAAGCGUGGGGAGCAAACAGGAUUAGAUACCCUGGUAGUCCACGCCCUAAACGAUGUCAACUGGUUGUUGGGUCUUCACUGACUCAGUAACGAAGCUAACGCGUGAAGUUGACCGCCUGGGGAGUACGGCCGCAAGGUUG
rnacentral:rRNA from 1 species